UACGUAGAGGGCAAGCGUUGUCCGGAAUCAUUGGGCGUAAAGAGCGUGUAGGCGGCUCGAUAAGUCCGCUGUGAAAGUCCAGGGCUCAACCCUGGAAGGCCGGUGGAAACUGUCGGGCUAGAGUCCGGAAGAGGCGAGUGGAAUUCCCGGUGUAGCGGUGAAAUGCGCAGAUAUCGGGAGGAACACCAAUGGCGAAGGCAGCUCGCUGGGACGGUACUGACGCUGAGACGCGAAAGCGUGGGGAGCAAACAGG
rnacentral:rRNA from 1 species